UAUUAUGUGAUGAUAUUUAUUGAUAGGGACAUCUGAAUGUUCAUGACAGAUUUAUCAUAUUUUAAAAAAUUCUGAUACA